UGGGGAAUCUUGCACAAUGGGCGAAAGCCUGAUGCAGCAACGCCGCGUGCGGGAAGACAGCCCUAGGGUUGUAAACCGCUUUCAGCAGGGAAGAAACUGACGGUACCUGCAGAAGAAGAUGCGGCCAACUACGUGCCAGCAGCCGCGGUGACACGUAGGCAUCAAGCGUUAUCCGGAUUUAUUGGGCGUAAAGAGCUCGUAGGCGGUUCGGUAAGUCGGGUGUGAAAACUCUGGGCUCAACCCAGAGAGGCCACUCGAUACUGCUGUGACUAGAGUGCGGUAGGGGAGCGGGGAAUUCCUGGUGUAGCGGUGAAAUGCGCAGAUAUCAGGAGGAACACCGGUGGCGAAGGCGGUCACCUGGGCCAGUACUGACGCUGAGGCGCGAAAGCGUGGGGAGCAAACAGGAUUAGAUACCCUGGUAGUCCACGCCGUAAACGAUGAGCACUCGGUGCCGCGGGUAUCGACCCCUGCGGUGCCUGAGCUAACGCAUUAAGUGCUCCGCCUGGGAGUACGGUCGCAAGGCUGAAA
rnacentral:rRNA from 1 species